rnacentral:rRNA from 1 species
UGAUUAGCUUGUUGGCGGGGUAACGGCCCACCAAGGCAACGAUCAGUAGGGGUUCUGAGAGGAAGGUCCCCCACAUUGGAGCUGAGACACGGUCCAAACUCCUACGGGAGGCAGCAGUGAGGAAUAUUGGUCAAUGGGCGAGAGCCUGAACCAGCCAAGUAGCGUGCAGGAAGACGGCCCUAUGGGUUGUAAACUGCUUUUAUAAGGGAAUAAAGUGAGUCUCGUGAGACUUUUUGCAUGUACCUUAUGAAUAAGGACCGGCUAAUUCCGUGCCAGCAGCCGCGGUAAUACGGAAGGUCCGGGCGUUAUCCGGAUUUAUUGGGUUUAAAGGGAGCGUAGGCCGGAGAUUAAGCGUGUUGUGAAAUGUAGACGCUCAACGUCUGCACUGCAGCGCGAACUGGUUUCCUUGAGUACGCACAAAGUGGGCGGAAUUCGUGGUGUAGCGGUGAAAUGCUUAGAUAUCACGAAGAACUCCGAUUGCGAAGGCAGCUCACUGGAGCGCAACUGACGCUGAAGCUCGAAAGUGCGGGUAUCGAACAGGAUUAGAUACCCUGGUAGUCCGCACGGUAAACGAUGGAUGCCCGCUGUUGGUCUGAACAGGUCAGCGGCCAAGCGAAAGCAUUAAGCAUCCCACCUGGGGAGUACGCCGGCAACGGUGAAACUCAAAGGAAUUGACGGGGGCCCGCACAAGCGGAGGAACAUGUGGUUUAAUUCGAUGAUACGCGAGGAACCUUACCCGGGCUUGAAUUGCAGAGGAAGGAUUUGGAGACAAUGACGCCCUUCGGGGUCUCUGUGAAGGUGCUGCAUGGUUGUCGUCAGCUCGUGCCGUGAGGUGUCGGCUUAAGUGCCAUAACGAGCGCAACCCCUCUCCUUAGUUGCCAUCAGGUUAAGCUGGGCACUCUGGGGACACUGCCACCGUAAGGUGUGAGGAAGGUGGGGAUGACGUCAAAUCAGCACGGCCCUUACGUCCGGGGCUACACACGUGUUACAAUGGCAGGUACAGAGAGACGGUCCCUUGCAAAACGGAUCAAAUCCUUAAAGCCUGUCUCAGUUCGGACUGGGGUCUGCAACCCGACCCCACGAAGCUGGAUUCGCUAGUAAUCGCGCAUCAGCCAUGGCGCGGUGAAUACGUUCCCGGGCCUUGUACACACCGCCCGUCAAGCCAUGAAAGCCGGGGGCGCCUAAAGUCCGUGACCGUAAGGAGCGGCCUAGGGCGAAACUGGUAAUUGGGGCUAAGUCGGAACAAGGUA